rnacentral:misc_RNA from 1 species
CAUGGCUAUGACGCCAGCGAUGCGUGCUUUUGCUUUAACGCCAUCUUCGUUGCGUUUACCUGCGUUAUGGCCCGUGUUAGCCGCGCGGAAGUCUUUAUUUUUUUCUGAAGUUGCGAAACUUUUAGGUUACAUAUAUAGUAAAUGUGUUCUAUAAGUUACGGUGACAAGUGAGAACCCCGAAGACGGUUCCAAUCUUCAGUUUCAUCGAAUGGAGAAGCCAGAGUUCUGCCUGUCAAUACCACCAGCAUCCCCUGUAGGAGAGAAACAUCUAAGUGAAAGUUCUGUUCAUGUUGAGGUUGAUGCUGCACUUGAGUCAGAGUAUAGAAAUGAGGCACUUGGUUUGGGGCAAGCUGAGCAACUUGCAGCAUCAGAAAAACCUGCUGAUGGAAGCAAUGCAGAGAGUCCACCUUCUUCCAUGCACCCUGGCAUUGAAAAGCUGGAGCCAGUUUUGGCCACUGCGACAAUACCCGAAAUCGAGACGCGAGAAGCAUUGGUGGAAGAGAAAAGAGAAUCGUGUGACUUGGACAAGGAACUUGAACCUUUGCUGAAGCUAUCUUCACAAUGUUCCAAGGAUGCACAGAAUAAGCCUGUGCCUGGGGCAGUUCAAGACAUUGCUGAAGUGCCAGCUCCACCUGGCGAAACAGGUCAGCCAAAUGUUGCUGAAGAACCCACUGCACCUGGUGAAACGAUUCUAGAGAGUGCUGCUGAACAACCAGCUCAUGUUACUGGUGCAGUUGCACAAGAUUUUUCUGAACAAGCAGUUUCACAGGAUGUCAUUGAACUAGCUGAGCCAAUUAAUGUAGCAGGUUCCAAAGUUGCGGAACAGUCACCUCAAUUUGCUCAAGCAGCACCAGAAAAUGUUGCAGAGCAAGAUAUUGCAUCGGCUGAAGCGGCCAAGUCGAGUGAUACAGCUGCACAGAAUGGAUCAGCAGCUACCUCUGAACCGGAACUGAGGCGGUCAUCUCGUCCACGCAAACCCUCAGUGCGUAUGAGAUCCCCUGGUGAGGAGACUGUGGAGCGCUCAUCAGAACCUGCAGUUCUCAAACGUAAAUCAGCCUUGCAUAAAAUACCAGACAACUUGCAAGCUGUGGUUCCUGCAAAUGCUGAACCUCUUACACCAACAAAGUCCCUCCCUUCCAAGAUGGAACGCAUGGAAUUCAGCAACAGCAGUUCACUUCAUUCAAAAGCAAAUAGAAAAACUUCAAAUAAGGAAAAGACCUGUAUCACUCAUUAUCGGCAGCAGGUUGCUCCAAUACGAAACAUUUCUGACAGUUGUCUUAGCCAGUAUGCUUGCCAAAAGUGCAGUUUUCGUACCAACCGCAUGGACAAUCUUGUGCGACACAAUAAGCAAGAUUGUGCGUAUGUGAAAGACUUUUUUAGCUGGGAUGCGAACACUUUCACAGAAGCCACUCAAAUGCCCAAGAAGAGGUCUUUAUCUCCUGAAGUGGCAUGUGUAAGUGAUGGAACCGAAAAAGCAAGCAAGUCUUCUUCUAGGCGUAAGAGGCCAAUGAGAAAAUUUGAACGAAGCCCCAGAGCCUCAGAAAAAAAAAAACCAGCAACAUCACCAGGAUACAAGCAAAUAAUUGAGAUGCACGAGGAGAGCUCUGAAGAUGAUAAUGAUGCAUCUGUGUCUGAUGCUACAGCACAGGAAAAAAUUGAGUUUGCUGAAGAUGAUGUUGUUUGGGUGGAAUGGAAGCGAUUGCACUGGCCUGCCUUGGUUCUCAAAGUUUAUCCAAAGACUAGGAAAGCCAGAGUGUUUCUAAUUCAUUCAAUCACGGCAAAAGAAACUGCCUUAGUCAACAUUAAAAAGAUGUUCAACUUCAACAAUGCCGAGAGGAACAAACAGUUUUUGAAUGAAGGCCGUGUAGGACACAACAGCGGUGCCUUGGUGAAAGCAGCACAGAAGGCUGAAGAAUUUCUGCGUAAACGAUGCCUUGGCAGCAGUGUUGAUGCAAAGAGAUUUUUCUGGAAUGAAGACGGAGACGCAUGCACUACAGACAGCGAUGAUUUUGACCUGGACCCUUUUUGCCCAGAAGGCGAUGAUGAUGAUGGGUUGGAUGCAAUUGUUUCACGCAUCAAGGAAAAGCGAAAGCAAUGCAAUGAGAAGCUUGUCCAGUGCAUUAGAGAAGGAAAAGUAAAUGACCAUUUGCUGGGUGUGCUGAAUGGCACGGUGCCAAGUGAACGCAACAAGCUGUUCUAUAGCACCAGUCGAAGUGAACACUUGCAGCUCAAGGAUUGGUCAUGGUUCGGGCCUAUUGAGGAUGUAUCGCAGCAAGAAGAGAUUUACGAGUUCUGCUUUGAGCUUCUGAAGGCGAAUUCAGACUUGGGCCCUACUUUUGACAUUGCAUCUUAUGUGAUUGAGGUGUGGUGUCCAGAGGCAGUAAUGAAGGCUCUGAGUCUCACACGUGGCAUUAACAUGGACAAAGCCGAAGAAGUCUUGCUGCGAGCUGUGAUUCAUACCAGGGCUGAAUUCGAGGCAAACAGACAAGAGUUCUGCUCCACUCCUUUAGAUCCUGAAGCAGAGCGAGAACGUUCUGAGCGUGCGCAUACUGAACUUCGUGACAGUGGCAUUGCAGAUGACAUUAUUGCUGCACUCCUGUGAACUCUGAAAGGCUUCACAGUCUUUAACUGUACUUUUCUUGUGUAGAACAUAUGUGCUUAAGUGAUACUGACACAAAAAUUUUGUACGUUUUGUGUGUGUGUGUGUGUGUGUGUGUGUGAGUGAGUGAAACUUAGUGCUGCCAGCUAGGCAUGCUUCAGUGCUUAUGUACCUUUUAAAAUGUUUAUUUCGUCAGUGCAUGUUAUGGUAAGUUACAUUAUGCAAAAUAAGGCCGGUGUAUUCUGGUUGUGCGAGUUUACCCGAGUUGGUUUCUACAGUCAAUUGGUUCUAAUGAAUUCAGUAGACACCAUAUUUUCAUCUUGUGAAUAUGUUCUUUUUCAUACUGCUAUAUUUGGACUAUCUCUGGUAGCCGAGCAUAUCACUGGUAUAUCUCUUCAUACUUUUUUUUAUUACAGCAACAAAUAAAAUGAAGUGCAAGGUGUUACAUUUGCCUCACUUGGUUCACCAAUAAGCAGACUCUUUCUCUUUGUAGCAGAGUUCUGCUACUGAUGUUUUUUUUUUUUUUUUUUUUUUCUGUUAAAGCACUACACCUGAGAUAGUAAACGGCUGCAGAGAGCCAGCUUUGCUACAGUUAAUGCAGGCUUUUUGGUCCAACAAAAAAACACUGUGCUGUGUGAAAAUUGAACUAGGUAUUUUGUUGCGUUUUGUAAUUUAAGGGGUGUUUUCAUUAAAAAUUUUCUUAUGUC